rnacentral:rRNA from 1 species
GACGAACGCUGGCGGCGUGCUUAACACAUGCAAGUCGAACGGAAAGGCCCUGCUUUUGUGGGGUGCUCGAGUGGCGAACGGGUGAGUAACACGUGAGUAACCUGCCCUUGACUUUGGGAUAACUUCAGGAAACUGGGGCUAAUACCGGAUAGGAGCUCCUGCUGCAUGGUGGGGGUUGGAAAGUUUCGGCGGUUGGGGAUGGACUCGCGGCUUAUCAGCUUGUUGGUGGGGUAGUGGCUUACCAAGGCUUUGACGGGUAGCCGGCCUGAGAGGGUGACCGGCCACAUUGGGACUGAGAUACGGCCCAGACUCCUACGGGAGGCAGCAGUGGGGAAUAUUGCACAAUGGGCUGAAGCCUGAUGCGGCAACGCCGCGUGCGGGAUGACGGCCUUCGGGUUGUAAACCGCUUUCGCCUGUGACGAAGCGUGAGUGACGGUAAUGGGUAAAGAAGCACCGGCUAACUACGUGCCAGCAGCCGCGGUGAUACGUAGGGUGCGAGCGUUGUCCGGAUUUAUUGGGCGUAAAGGGCUCGUAGGUGGUUGAUCGCGUCGGAAGUGUAAUCUUGGGGCUUAACCCUGAGCGUGCUUUCGAUACGGGUUGACUUGAGGAAGGUAGGGGAGAAUGGAAUUCCUGGUGGAGCGGUGGAAUGCGCAGAUAUCAGGAGGGAACACCAGUGGCGAAGGCGGUCCUCUGGGCCUUUCCUGACGCUGAGGAGCGAAAGCGUGGGGAGCGAACAGGCUUAGAUACCCUGGUAGUCCACGCUGUAAACGGUGGGUACUAGGUGUGGGGUCCAUUCCACGGGUUCCGUGCCGUAGCUAACGCUUUAAGUACCCCGCCUGGGGAGUACGGCCGCAAGGCUAAAACUCAAAGGAAUUGACGGGGCCCCGCACAAGCGGCGGAGCAUGCGGAUUAAUUCGAUGCAACGCGUAGAACCUUACCUGGGUUUGACAUGGAUCGGGAGCGCUCAGAGAUGGGUGUGCCUCUUUUGGGGUCGGUUCACAGGUGGUGCAUGGCUGUCGUCAGCUCGUGUCGUGAGAUGUUGGGUUAAGUCCCGCAACGAGCGCAACCCUUGUUCACUGUUGCCAGCACGUUAUGGUGGGGACUCAGUGGAGACCGCCGGGGUCAACUCGGAGGAAGGUGGGGAUGACGUCAAGUCAUCAUGCCCCUUAUGUCCAGGGCUUCACGCAUGCUACAAUGGCUGGUACAGAGAGUGGCGAGCCUGUGAGGGUGAGCGAAUCUCGGAAAGCCGGUCUCAGUUCGGAUUGGGGUCUGCAACUCGACCUCAUGAAGUCGGAGUCGCUAGUAAUCGCAGAUCAGCAACGCUGCGGUGAAUACGUUCCCGGGGCU